AGAAGUAUCUGCUUUACAAAUCUCAUUGUUUUUCAUAAUGAUGAACUGGGCUUUGGAGUAUAUGUACUAAAAGAACAUUUUGCUUCCAUAGACAAGGAUGCUGUGCAUCCCCCUUUUUUUG